CCUACGGGUGGCAGCAGUGAGGAAUAUUGGUCAAUGGGCGAAGGCCUGAACCAGCCAAGUCGCGUGAGGGAUGACUGCCCUAUGGGUUGUAAACCUCUUUUGUAAGGGGGGAAUGCGCUUUACGUGUAGACUGAUGCAGGUACCCUACGAAUAAGCACCGGCUAACUCCGUUCCAGCAGCCGCGGUAAUACGGAGGGUGCGGGCGUUAUCCGGAUUUUUUGGGUUUAAAGGGUGCGUAGGCGGAAUUGAAAGGUAGUGGUAAAAGAUGGGGGCUUCACCUCCCUACGCAAUUAAUAAUGGAGAGCUGGAGAACAGGCGAGGUAGGCGGAAUGAGUUAAGUAGCGGUGAAAUGCAUAGAUAUGACGUAGAACACCGAUUGCGAAGGCAGCUUACCAGAGUGAAACUGACGCUGAUGCACGAGAGCAGGGGUAGCGAACAGGAUUAGAUACCCUAGUAGUC
rnacentral:rRNA from 1 species